rnacentral:rRNA from 16 species
GAAACUGCGAAUGGCUCAUUAAAACAGUUAUAGUUUAUUUGAUAGUACUGAUUACUCGGAUAACCCAAGUAAUUCUUGAGCUAAUACGUGCCUCAACGCCCGACUCACGAAGGGUGGUAUUUAUUAGUUUUAAACCAAUCGGCUUGCCGUUUUUGGUGAAUCAUAGUAACUUUUCGGAUCGCAUGGCUUCGGCCGGCGACAAAUCAUUCAAAUAUCUGCCCUAUCAACUUUGGAUGGUAAGGUAGUGGCUUACCAUGGUGGUAACGGGUAACGGAGAAUUAGGGUUCGAUUCC